UAUGGUGAUAAGCAAAUCGCCCUGUUCCCGCGAAUUUCUAUAGGGAAAUUAUUAAUUGGAAGUAGCGAGGCAUCGUGUCCAGUGAAAUCAUUAUUUUGUUUACUUCCUAUAAUUACUUUGUUGAUUUGUUAUUGAGAGGGAGUACCACCGUAGUAAACAAACUCUGGAAAAGAACUAAGGCAGUCCUUCCGAAACUUCACAACAUGAUGAGGAUUGUUGGUUACGGGAUCAUUUUUCUUACAACCGUCGUGUUUGUUGUGGAACCACUGUGCAAGAACUGUAACUACAGAAAUCAGGAGUACUUAUAUCUGUCCAGUUUCGAAACGGAAGUAGAUGAAUGUACCCGGGAAGUUUGUUUCUGUAGAUGUAACGGAACUGCAGUCUGUCCACCUUCCAAAACUUAUUCCAUCUGCACCGAAAACUGUGGAAUAUGCCAUCACCCAAUAACGCGCAAUCCAAUAUUUGCAUAUUCAGCAUUUAAUUUUGUGGAGAAUUGCAUCAGGUAUACGUGUAUCUGUGAUUGCGACGGUACUUAUAGGUGUUCAUCUGGAGCUGGAAGAAUUUCAAAUUGUUAAAUGGCGGAAAAUCAAUGAUAUUAACUCAUCUAGUAUAGCUUUAUUAAUUUUCAAUCUGUUGACAUUUUAUUAAUUAUUAUGUGAACAUUUAAAAUUGCAUUUAUAGAAUUUUCUGCAAAUAAAUUCGAUAAACUGUCCUCAGUAUUAUAAUUUUAUGCAAGGAAGUUAAAUCUGAUUCGUCAAGAAACAUUUGUUAAAAAACACUAUUUCUGAUUGAUGAAACCACGCCCACCAGCAUAGCAACAGUCAACAUUGGUUGACGACGGGUGAUCUUUCAAAAAAAAUAUUGACUGCGCAGAAUCCAUGCGCAUGGUUCAGUGUUACAUUAUGUGAAUAAAAUUUUCAGUAU